GGAAGCUACUGUAUUAGAAAGGGGCGAAAGUUAGGAGAAAAACAAAAAAGAGAAGGACAGCAGAAGUAGAAAAUAAUAAGAAGAAGAAUAUUUAGGAUUUAGGAGUAACAACUAUAUAUAAUAUGAGAGUGGUAAACGAAGAGAAGGGAUCGAGCUUUUGAGUUGUUUAUCCAUCGUGAUCAGGAAUAAGAUAUGAGUGAAGUAUUUGGUUGAGAUGAGUCGUAGGAAUUGCACAUGUUAUCAGGGUUGGCGGCUGGCGCAUUUUGGCAACCUUCUCCUCCUCAUCAUUUUUGCAUGUAGAUAAAUGUUUAGUAUAUAGAGUGGUGAGAUGGUCCCACUACUUUUUAGAAUGUUUGAAAUAUGUACUUGAUAAAUAGUGGUUAUUUGUUUUAA